AGUUAUGAAAUGCAGGUUGGUUAAUACCCAACCUGUUUGACAAAGGCCCCAAAGGAAGCCACGGCUAACUCUGUGCCAGCAGCCGCGGUAAUACAGAGGUGGCAAGCGUUGUUCGGUAUUAUUGGGCGUAAAGAGCACGUAGGUGGUUUUGUAAGUCAGAUGUGAAAGCCUUCUGUUCAAAGGAAGAACGGCAUCUGAAACUGCAGAUCUUGAGUGUAGGAGGGGAGAGUGGAACUUCUGGU
rnacentral:rRNA from 1 species